rnacentral:rRNA from 1 species
UACGGAGGGUGCGAGCGUUAAUCGGAAUUACUGGGCGUAAAGCGCGCGUAGGCGGUUUGUUAAGUCGGGUGUGAAAGCCCCGGGCUCAACCUGGGAAUUGCAUUCGAUACUGGCAGGCUGGAGUAUGGUAGAGGGUAGCGGAAUUCCAGGUGUAGCGGUGAAAUGCGUAGAUAUCUGGAAGAACACCAGUGGCGAAGGCGGCUACCUGGACCAAUACUGACGCUGAGGCGCGAAAGCGUGGGGAGCAAACAGG